UAGGGAAUCUUCGGCAAUGGGGGGAACCCUGACCGAGCAACGCCGCGUGAGUGAAGAAGGUUUUCGGAUCGUAAAGCUCUGUUGUUAAGGAAGAACGAGUGUGAGAAUGGAAAGUUCAUACUGUGACGGUACUUAACCAGAAAGGGACGGCUAACUACGUGCCAGCAGCCGCGGUAAUACGUAGGUCCCGAGCGUUGUCCGGAUUUAUUGGGCGUAAAGCGAGCGCAGGCGGUUAGAAAAGUCUGAAGUGAAAGGCAGUGGCUCAACCAUUGUAGGCUUUGGAAACUGUAUAACUUGAGUGCAGAAGGGGAGAGUGGAAUUCCAUGUGUAGCGGUGAAAUGCGUAGAUAUAUGGAGGAACACCGGUGGCGAAAGCGGCUCUCUGGUCUGUAACUGACGCUGAGGCUCGAAAGCGUGGGUAGCAAACAGG
rnacentral:rRNA from 1 species